rnacentral:rRNA from 1 species
GACGAACGCUGGCGGCGUGCUUAACACAUGCAGGUCGAACGGAAAGGCCCUGCUUUUGUGGGGUGCUCGAGUGGCGAACGGGUGAGUAACACGUGAGUAACCUGCCCUUGACUUUGGGAUAACUUCAGGAAACUGGGGCUAAUACCGGAUAGGAGCUCCUGCUGCAUGGUGGGGGUUGGAAAGUUUCGGCGGUUGGGGAUGGACUCGCGGCUUAUCAGCUUGUUGGUGGGGUAGUGGCUUACCAAGGCUUUGACGGGUAGCCGGCCUGAGAGGGUGACCGGCCACAUUGGGACUGAGAUACGGCCCAGACUCCUACGGGAGGCAGCAGUGGGGAAUAUGGCACAAUGGGCGGAAGCCUGAUGCAGCAACGCCGCGUGCGGGAUGACGGCCUUCGGGUUGUAAACCGCUUUCGCCUGUGACGAAGCGUGAGUGACGGUAAUGGGUAAAGAAGCACCGGCUAACUACGUG